CACACAGAAACAUGCACAAAGCGUUGUCACACAGCGCGACAAGUCCUGGAGAGUGAGCAGCUCGGAUUAGAAGCACAACAGGACCGGGACCCGGAGCCCCUCACCUCCCCCGGCACCUCUCCCAGGGGUAACAGCGUCCUGGCUUCCCGCCCAUGGCUUUGACCUUCAUGUUCAGAAUGAAACCACACCAUCGAGAAGCCUCUGGCCCUACUUCCAUGCUGGACGUCACGCAGGCAGGAGGCACCUGUGUUUCACAAGCAGCAGGAGACGUGGGGUUACUUCGCACACACACAGGUAAACACACACAAUUUACCCCUUUACUGCUCCUGGACGUCCGGCUGCUCCCAGGGCUUUCCCGCUACUCCGAACAGGGGCUGCGCUGGCCCUCAGCUUCUGUGAUCCCAUCAUUAGAUGGAGGCUGGAGGGCCCGCAAAGGGAGAGACUGGAUUCUGUCCUCUUUCGCUCCCGCCUUUCUGUGCAGAACCAGGAAGGCCCCAGGUGUCACCUGCCCCCACCUGGCCCUACGCCCGAAGGCGGAAUUCUCCAAUUCGCUUAACAGGCAGGCCUGGGCCCCGGGCCUGGUGUAGUAUCCUCAGCGAUGUAACGCGUCACUCACUCAAGUCUCAGUGAGCAGGACCAGGUGGCCCUGUUGAAGGAGGGGCCAGAAACAGAGACUCCGGUUUCACUUUGGACCAAAACUGUAGACCUGUGGUAACGUCUCCACUAGUGAGUACAUGGACGUAGCUAUAAGCAGCAGAGACCUGGAAGAUAGUGGUUGAUAUAAAAUAAAGGUCUCUUCGCACAGGUCAGUGACGUCAGGAGCUCCUAGGACGGGCAUGACAGCUCCAGAGAGUCCUCAGGAACCCACAAACCUGUCUUUCUGCUCUGCCAUAGUUAGAGGGUGCCAUCCUCGAGGUCACAAAAGAGCCACUGGAGUGCCAGCCAUCGCAUACCUAGUCCCAGGCGGGAAGAAAAAGGAAAAAAAUAAAAGCAGCACCCAGAAGCUCUUUUGGAGUUUUAUUGGAAAUCCUGCCCAACCGCUUCUGCUUGGAUGUCACUGGCCAUCCCGUUUGCCAGGAAGUGGGAAACGUAGUCUUUCAGCUGCUCAUCUGGUCACCUCGAGAGGAGGGGAGGUUGGAUUUGGGCAGGCAACGUGCAGCUUCUUGCUCAACUUCCUACCCGAGUUUUCUUCUGCCUUAUUUGGGAUCGUGAGCAACACGGAACUCUCCAGGGCCAGGAACUGCUGGAAGCAAGUGAAUCGAUUUCUGAAACAAAGCGCUUUACACAGGCUUUGCGGGUGUCACAGAUUCUCCUCCUUCCUAGAGCCACGCAGCUCCCCCGGGGAAGGGGACCGGGGCACAGCCUCUCCUGGGGAACUGCAGGUAAACAACAGAGCCCAUGAACCGCAGGCGCUCUCUGAGGUCACCGACAAGGAAGGUUCUGUUAUGCGGUCACAUCAAGUGGCUCAGGCUCAGUGGGGGGAGACUUACGCCUGCGUGUUCGGCUGGUUCUGGAAGCAGCCUCCAGCCAAGUAUUUGUGUGAGUGGUUUAUUCAGGAGAAGCCCCAGCCUCAGCCUGCUGCUUCAAGUGGCUUGGGCAUACACUCCAUCUCAGGGGAAGUAGCUGGCACCCAGGCUUUCAGACUUCCCGCUCUUGUCAGCCAGGAGCUGAGGGCCCCCGGGACACCCCAGGCUCAGCGCCUCUGCUCCAGGAGCCCAGACAUCUGAAUAUGGAGCCUUUUUAGGAAGAAGAGUGACAGGCGGGGGUGGUUCUGUUUCGGAAGCCUGCCUUCCCGGGCUCCCCCGCUCAGCUGGCCGCCUGCAGGAUGAAUCUGCGGCAGAUCUGAGCUGCUUUCCCGGCUCUGGGUCUGGCAUGCACGUUGCAAGCACAGGCCACACUGCUGAUGCCGCGGUGCCUGCUGGAUCUCCGACAGGGGCACCCACGCUUCCAGGGGCCUGAAGAAACAGGCACUGGGAGGACAGAGCCUCCCACCUGCACUUGCACACAAAUGUUCAAAGCAGCGUGAUUCACAGGAGCCAGACGGUGGAAGCAACCAAGUGUCCAUCCACAGAUGAGGAGAAAUGGGGUCCACACCAGCAAUGGGAGGUUGGGCGGCUGUCAAAAGACAGGAAAUUCAGACACACACACACACACACACACACACACACGCUACGACGCGGAUGAAGCUGAAGACAUUGUGCUGAGCGCGAUAAGCCAGAAGCGAAAGGACAAACACUGCAUGAUUCCCCCUCUGAGACACCCAGAGGUCCCAUCCACGGGGACAGGAGGAAGCCCGGUGGACAGGGGCUGUGCGGGGCGGGGGGGAUGCGGGCUUAAGGGGGCCGAGUUCCGCUUUGGGAAGACGACACAGCUCUGGAGGUGACGGUGCCAAAGGUCGCCCAACACCCUGCACACCUAAUGCCCCCAAAGUGAACCCUGAAAAACGUUAACACGGCGAAGUCUGUGUUCUGCGUGCUGUAUCACAACGAAAAAAACGGAAACAACAAGCCCCCAAAUAAACACCAAAAUCACCCGGGGUUUCGGGGCUGUCAGUCCUCCCUGGGGGCGGAGCCUCCCCCGCUCCGCGAACUCCAGCGUUUCCUACGGGAAAUCGGGAAACCGAG
rnacentral:lncRNA from 9 species